rnacentral:snRNA from 1 species
GUGCUGGCACGAUAACUGAGCAUUGAUCGCCUAAAACAGUUUAGUUUGCAGAUCUGUCCAGUGGCAUGCGUCACAACUCUACUGGUAGUCUUUCUUCUUUGUCAUCGGUGAUCUCUCGCUGCGGGUCGACGGGCCGCACGCACGAUUGAUGUC